AUAAAAAAGAACAUUCCUCUGUUAAGCUAGCUUUCUUGAUAGGAAAGAUUACAGAAAUCAAAUGGAAAAAGAAAGAACAAGAAGCAAGCAAUGAAACGUGAUUCAGCGAGUGGCUUAGAAGCAAGACUCGUUAGAGUUGUAACAAUUCAUGGCUGCUUAACAUACCUCCAUAAUUUCCAAUGGAAGAAAGUCUUUGCCAACUAAGAAACAUGGAAACACAAAAUUGUCAACUAAAUGUUGAAGGUUGAACUCAAAUGAAUGGUUCAGAAAAUCCAAUUCAUAAAUACUCACAAUAACCAGAUGUUGAGGAACUGGCCAAAAAAUUAUUCAUUUUAAAGGAUAUUAGAUAACAGAGGAAGAUGGAAAAGAAUUGAAACUCAGGAAUCUGUUUUCCCAACCUGAUAUUCGUUAUUGUGAAUUGGAGUAUCAUUUGCCACAUAGCACCUUAGAGCAUAUCUGCUGGCUUCUCCGACAUUCGGCUGCAAGAUGGCCAGCCUGACCACUGGGUGGCUCAGUAAACAUGACUAGCUGUGUCAUGACUCAUGAGACAAAUAAAUUUUUAGAAUCUUCCAAAAGGAAAGUGAGUUGGAACCCAGAAGUAGAUUUAUAUAGAAUUACCGACUAACCUCUCAAUACUGAGAACAGCAUAAUCGAAUAUACGUUCUGAUUAUCAUAAACCAGAAUUCUAUGUGGGACUCAUCAAUCUAAACAGAGCCAAAAAUACUGGGCAGGAAGAUCAAAGGCCUAAAACCAAUUAUAAAGGGGGGAAAACUCAGACCAUAUAGACAAUGCCGUCUGUUUGGUUACUACACAAGAAAGGAAUUUGUCCACUCUUAGAAGGGAAUGAGCUGUGAUUCAACCUCAUCUGUAUACAAUAUUGAAGUGCAAUUGAGAGCAUACCUAGAGGAAAAAUUGGUGCCAAGAGUGAUGAUGUUAGG
rnacentral:lncRNA from 1 species